ensembl:miRNA Mir1966 microRNA 1966
GUAGAAUAGUGUUGGAAGGGAGCUGGCUCAGGAGAGAGUCCUGAGAUUUAGGCUCUUUCUGACUCAACUCUCCCUUAGCAAGUCAAGUCUAUUGAACGCUUUCUUCGA